UACAGAGGGGGCAAGCGUUAUUCGGAAUUAUUGGGCGUAAAGGGCGCGUAGGCGGCUUGGCAAGUGGAAGGUGAAAUCCCUCGGCUUAACCGAGGAACUGCCCUCCAAACUGCUUCGCUUGAGACCGGGAGAGGUGAGUGGAAUUCCCAGUGUAGCGGUGAAAUGCGUAGAUAUUGGGAGGAACACCAGUGGCGAAGGCGGCUCACUGGACCGGUACUGACGCUGAUGCACGAAAGCGUGGGGAGCAAACAGG
rnacentral:rRNA from 1 species